CCUACGGGAGGCAGCAGUGAGGAAUAUUGGUCAAUGGACGAGAGUCUGAACCAGCAAAGUAGCGUGAAGGAUGACUGCCCUAUGGGUUGUAAACUUCUUUUAUAUGGGAAUAAAAUGUUCCACGUGUGGGAUUUUGUAUGUACCAUAUGAAUAAGGAUCGGCUAACUCCGUGCCAGCAGCCGCGGUAAUACGGAGGAUCCGAGCGUUAUCCGGAUUUAUUGGGUUUAAAGGGAGCGUAGGUGGAUUGUUAAGUCAGUUGUGAAAGUUUGCGGCUCAACCAUAAAAUUGCAGUUGAAACUGGCAGUCUUGAGUACAGUAGAGGUGGGCGGAAUUCGUGGUGUAGCGGUGAAAUGCUUAGAUAUCACGAAGAACUCCGAUUGCGAAGGCAGUUCACUGGACUGCAACUGACACUGAGGCUCGAAAGUGUGGGUAUCAAACAGGAUUAGAUACCCCAGUAGUC
rnacentral:rRNA from 1 species